AAAUCGUAACAAGGUUUCCGUAGGUGAACCUGCGGAAGGAUCAUUACUGAACCGUUGACACGAGCUGUUGCUGGCCCUCGAAAGGGGGCACGUGCACGCUCUGUUUACACAUCCACUCACACCUGUGCACCCUCUGUAGUUCUAUGGCCUUGGGGACCCUGUCUCCUUGCUGUGGUCCUACGCCUUUACACACACACCGUAACAAAGUCUCAUGGAAUGUAUGUCGCGUUUAACGCAAUACAAUACAACUUUCAGCAACGGAUCUCUUGGCUCUCGCAUCGAUGAAGAACGCAGCGAAAUGCGAUAAGUAAUGUGAAUUGCAGAAUUCAGUGAAUCAUCGAAUCUUUGAACGCACCUUGCGCCCUUUGGCUAUUCCGAAGGGCAUGCCUGUUUGAGUAUCAUGAACACCUCAACUCUCAUGGUCCGCCAUGAUGAGCUUGGACUUUGGGGGCCUUGCCGGCCAAGUGUCGGCUCCUCUCAAAUGGAUCAGCUUGCCAGUGUUUGGUGGCGUCACAGGUGUGAUAACUAUCUACGCUUGUUGUUCUCUGCCAUGUAACCUUCAGUGAUGGAGGUUCGCUGGAGCUCACAGAUGUCUCUCCCUGGGAGGACAGC
rnacentral:rRNA from 1 species